rnacentral:rRNA from 1 species
AGAGUUUGAUUAUGGCUCAGAUUGAACGCUGGCGGCGUGCUUAACACAUGCAAGUCGAACGUGAAAGUCCUUCGGGGCGAGUAAAGUGGCGCACGGGUGAGUAACGCGUGGAUAAUCUACCCUUAAGAUGGGGAUAACGGCUGGAAACGGUCGCUAAUACCGAAUACGCUCCCGAUUUUAUCAUUGGGGGGAAAGAUGGCCUCUGCUUGCAAGCUAUCGCUUAAGGAUGAGUCCGCGUCCCAUUAGCUAGUUGGCGGGGUAACGGCCCACCAAGGCAACGAUGGGUAGCCGGUCUGAGAGGAUGACCGGCCACACUGGAACUGGAACACGGUCCAG